rnacentral:misc_RNA from 1 species
ACCGAUGAUCACGACUACGGCGUCAAGAUGAAGAACGUCUACAAGUUCCUUGAAAACGGGGACAAGGUGAAAAUCACCCUGCGUUUCCGUGGCCGCGAAAUGGCCCACCAGGAACUGGGUCGCGCCCUGCUGGAACGUGUGGCCGAGGACACCAAGGAACACGGCAAGGUCGAAAACUUUCCCAAGAUGGAAGGCCGCCAGAUGGUCAUGUUGAUCGGACCGCUGCCCAAGUAAGCGAUCCAUAUGGCAAAGUUCAGGGGUCAGCGCAUCGGCGCUGACCCCUUUUUCAUUGCGACAGGCCCAUAUUCAGCGGGCA